CCGGAGAGGACAAACAUGUAGCGUAUCAAAAGUCAUUGAAUAAGUGACUAGCUUCUGAUAAGGAAGGAGUCAUGCCCGGAUCCUGUUUACUUGUUUUCCCGUGGCAGGCCGUGUCGCCGACCAGCUACUUUUUGCCCAGAUUUCUCACUGGCCACAGCUGGGCGCACUGCUACCGGAGAACAGGUUUAGGAACAAUAAGACCCUGAUCCAAAUGUGCCCUGUUCUACAUCUUGUAUGACAACCUUCCUCAUCUGAAUUGUCUCCGUCUUUGUCCGAGGCAUGACUAAGGUUUCAAUAUUUCAGUUUUCUAACUGUUGCUGACAUGCCCACAGGACUAGGCUGGCAUGAUUUAAUGUACAAAAGAAUCCCAAUGAGCCUCAAUGCGCUGUUAGCUUUACAGGUGAACUUAAUUUGACCGUGACCUUUUGAAUCCCCGUGUUCAACUGUAUGUUUCACUACUUUUUGUACAAAUGGCUAUAAACUCAAGACAAAGGGUUGAUUUAUGAAAACAAGCAAGGGUGUCCACUUCUAUUCCUAUCAGUGACCCUUCCAGUCUCUCUCUCUCUCUCUCUCUCUUUCUCUCACAAGCUGCUAAUGACGCUAUGAGCUCAGUGGCCACGUCGUGUUUCAAAUGUUGCGAUGUUGAAGUCCUAUCGAUCAGUUAUUUGGCGUCGUCUUGGCCUCAUGAUUGAAAAUGUGAACAGCAUGAAGAAGACGGCUUAAAAACCAGGACGUUUUUUGGGGGUUAUUUGUGAAUCUUGUUUUAGAUGAACACCAAGGGCUACUAUGUUACUGUAUUUGUUUGUCAUUACAUUGGUACUUGGAGAGCAAAGUCUUUUUUGAGGUGGUGUUUAGUGUAAAAAGUUUGAGAAGCACUACUGUAAUUCAUCUAAAGGUGUAACAGUCACAAAAAAGGGAAAGAAGGCCUGUUGCUAUGUUCUUUCCCCCUACAUUUGAGUUGAUUUCUUGCAACCAUUUGUUUUGCUUUGCAAUGUUCAGUCUGGUUGUUGUAAUCUGAUUGUGUUGUGCCUUGUGAACUUUCCCCUAGAAAACUCUUAGACCACGCCCCCUCCUUCCUCUCUGGCUGUGUUGGGAGGCAGGAGAUUCACGUUCGACCUCUCUGACACCGGACUGUUUUUAUUUGGAUCAGAUCGGGGGAUUUUUUUUUGUGUCAGAAUCGUCUCCUCAGAAUAGGUCAGUUUGUGGGGGAGAAUGACGGGAACACAACGCACCUGGACUUUUACACGGAAUUGGUCACAGCGGGAGGCUACCAUGCCUUCCCAGACAGAGACACUCCACCCUAAAUGAGAGCAGACUUGUCCAAUGUGCUUUAUCAGCUGCCACGAUGUUCUUUUUUUUCCAAGAAAUUUCUGAGGUUGGGGUUUGAAAUAUUUGCUCUGGCUUUGCUGUGUACAUUUUGCAUCUGUUCGUGGGUUUGCUUUUAUUGCCCUGGCGUUCUCCCACAUUCCGAAAGCGUCCAUGAAGAAUAUAGGUUACGUGGAGACUCUAUAACGGCGGCUCGCAACUGUUGUCAACCUUGGGCCGGCACGUUGCUAUUUUUGAUUAUUUGUGACCCACUUUCACAGAAGUGAAGAACAAUAAAGCAAAUGUAUGGUUCCAAAAUAACGUCUGGAAAUAAAUAUACAGUUUCUGUGGCA